rnacentral:rRNA from 1 species
GACGAACGCUGGCGGCGUGCUUAACACAUGCAAGUCGAACGGAAAGGCCCUGCUUUUGUGGGGUGCUCGAGUGGCGAACGGGUGAGUAACACGUGAGUAACCUGCCCUUGACUUUGGGAUAACUUCAGGAAACUGGGGCUAAUACAGGAUAGGAUCUCCUGCUCCAUGGUGGGGGUUGGAAAGUUUCGGCUGUGGGGGAUGGACUCGCGGCUUAUCAGCUUGUUUGUGGGGUAGGUGCGUACCAAGGCUUUGACGGGUAGCCGGCCUUGGAGGGUGACCGGCGACAAUGCGCCUACGGUAGGGCCCAGACUCCUACGGUGGGCAACGGGGGGAAAUAUGGCACAGCGGGCCCGAGUCUGAUACAGCAGCGCCGCGUGCGUGAUGACCUCCUUUGGGUUGAAAACCGCUUUCGCCUGUGACGAAGCGGUAGUGACGGUAACGGGUAAAGAAGCACCGGCUAACUACGUG